rnacentral:rRNA from 1 species
GACGAACGCUGGCGGCGUGCUUAACACAUGCAAGUCGAACGGAAAGGCCCUGCUUUUGUGGGGUUCUCGAGUGGCGAACGGGUGAGUAACACGUGAGUAACCUGCCCUUGACUUUGGGAUAACUUCAGGAAACUGGGGCUAAUACCGGAUAGCAGCUCCUGCUGCAUGGUUGGGGUUGGAAAGUUUCGGCGGUUGGGGAUGGACUCACGGCUUAUCAGCUUGUUGGUGGGGUAGUGGCUUACCAAGGCUUUGACGGGUCGCCGGCCUGCGAGGGUGACCGGCCUCAUUGGGAUUGAGAUAGGACGCAGACUCCUACGGGAGGCAGCAGUGGGGAAUAUUGCACAAAGGGCGGAAGCCUGAGGCAGCAACGCCGCGUGCGGGAUGACGGCCUUCGGGGUGUAAACCUCUUUCGCCUAUGACGAAGCGUGAAUGACGGUAAUGGGUAAAGAAGCACCGGCUAACUACGUG